GAUGAAGGAACGUAGCGAAAUGCGAUAAGUAGUGUGAAUUGCAGAAUUCAGUGAAUCAUCGAAUCUUUGAACGCACAUUGCGCCCUAUGGUAUUCCGUAGGGCAUGCCUGUUCGAGCGUCAUUUAGACCCUCAAGCUCUGCUUGGUGUUGGGCGCUUUGUCUUUUCAAUAGGAUUGACUCGCCUGAAAAUUAUUGGCAGCUGGUUAGUUGGUUUCGAGCGCAGCACAGCGUGCUCAGUGAAGCCUCCUAACUAGCACCCAUAAGUAUACCUUUUAAAAGUUUGACCUCGGAUCAGGUAGGGAUACCCGCUGAACUUAAGCAUAUCAAUAAGCGGAGGA
rnacentral:misc_RNA from 1 species